AAAGUCGUAACAAGGUCUCCGUUGGUGAACCAGCGGAGGGAUCAUUAUAGAGUGUAAAAAACUCCAAACCCCUGUGAACGUACCACUGUUGCUUCGGCGCGCACGCCCCCGGGCACCCAUUGGUAAGACAAUGGUGCACUGGAUCAGGCCGCCGCCGGGGGACCCCAAACUCUUGCUUUUACCUGUAUCGUCUGAGUGGAUUAUCAAAUAAAUCAAAACUUUCAACAACGGAUCUCUUGGCUCUG
rnacentral:misc_RNA from 1 species